rnacentral:rRNA from 1 species
UACGUAGGGUGCGAGCGUUGUCCGGAAUUAUUGGGCGUAAAGAGCUCGUAGGCGGUGUGUCACGUCGGCCGUGAAAACCUGGGGCUCAACUCUGGGCGUGCGGUCGAUACGGGCAUCACUAGAGUUCGGUAGGGGAGACUGGAAUUCCUGGUGUAGCGGUGAAAUGCGCAGAUAUCAGGAGGAACACCGGUGGCGAAGGCGGGUCUCUGGGCCGAUACUGACGCUGAGGAGCGAAAGCAUGGGUAGCGAACAGG